UACGUAGGGGGCAAGCGUUGUCCGGAAUCAUUGGGCGUAAAGCGCGCGUAGGCGGCCCGGUAAGUCCGCUGUGAAAGUCCAGGGCUCAACCCUGGAAUGCCGGUGGAUACUGUCGGGCUCGAGUCCGGAAGAGGCGAGUGGAAUUCCUGGUGUAGCGGUGAAAUGCGCAGAUAUCAGGAGGAACACCGGUGGCGAAGGCAGCAUCCUGGACCAGUACUGACACUGAAAAGCGAAAGCCAGGGGAGCAAACAGG
rnacentral:rRNA from 1 species